AUUGAACGCUGGCGGCAGGCCUAACACAUGCAAGUCGAGCGGAGCGGCGGACGGGUGAGUAAUGCCUAGGAAUCUGCCUGGUAGUGGGGGAUAACGUACGGCAACGGGAGCUAAUGCCGCAUACUAUCAGAUGAGCCUAGGUCGGAUUAGCUAGUGGGUGGGGUAAAGGCCUACCAAGGCGACGAUCCGUAACUGGUCUGAGAGGAUGAUCAGCCACACGGGAAUUGAGCACCGGUCCAGACUCCUACGGGAGGAAGCAGUGGGAAAUAUUGGCCAAUGGGCGAAAGCCUGAUCCAGCACUGCCGCGUGUGUGAAGAGGGUCUUCGGAUUGUAAAGCACUUUAAGUUGGGAGGCGUUACCAGCAGAAUAAGCACCGGCUAACUUCGUGCCAGCAGCCGCGGUAAUUC
rnacentral:rRNA from 1 species